rnacentral:lncRNA from 1 species
UUAAUUGUUGCUGUGGAAUUGAGCAGGAGGCAGUAAAUGUAUCACUAGGGAACUUGUUAACCUAUCCAUUUGUGAGGGAGGCAGUGGGGAAGAAAACCCUUUCAUUAAAGGGUGGACACUAUGAUUUUCUGAAGGGCUCUUUUGAGCUUUGGAAUCUUGAUUUUAGCCUCUCACCUUCUCUAUCAGCGUAAGUAAUUAAUGCUGUUUCUAUAUAUUGCUUCUUGCUUCCUUUCAGAUACUCUCUUAUUCGAAGGUGUAAAAUGUCGCAACAAAUAACGUUGGGUCGAGAAAGUAGACACGAAAGUUAAUUUUUCUUGGUGUAUGUUGUCGAGUGCAAUAUUACAUAUGUUAGUAAAAUGUUGCUAAUCGUUCUUGGCAAUUUUUUUCAUCUCUUGAUCGCGAUUCUAUGCCAGUGACGUCAAUUUCACCAAUGGGCUUGAAUAAUUAGAUCAGUAUUAUAAAAAAUAAUGUCAUCUUUGGUCAUCAAACUAUCGUGAACCUCCCACGAGCUGCCCCUCGACAAAUUUGGAAUUUUAAGGAGAAUGUUUGAAAACAUAUAUCUUAUGAUUCAGACAGAGAAUGUUAGUCCCAUAAUGUCUACAUUGGUUUCAAAUUUAGCAGCAAUAUUGAUAUUGUUCUUACCGGCAUCAUCAUAAACGACGUCAAAACUAGAGUUUGAUAAGGUGGAUUGGACUGAAUUAUAGUAUUCAGGAAGAAACAGAAGUCCGAAGUAAAGAUCUUAUUCAUUGUAGGGACAGUCCGAUAUUAUUACCAGACAUGCUCUUAAUGUUGUCUUGUAUAAUUAAUCAAUCCCUCGGAUGCACACAAUCAAAGCUCAUAGGUUUUACCUGGAUUACAAGAAAUCCAUCGACUCCACCGGCACCCCUUAAAUCAAGUACGGAUUUUCCCGCAGAAAGUCCAGCACUUUCAAGACCUUCAUAGGCAGUUUCGAUUGCCACAGCUGAAUGGCAGCCUUUGCAAAAUCAAGAUUCUUGGGUUUUAGAGCGAGCAAUUAUAAAGACUUGAGUAUCCAUCUUAAAAAGUCAAUCUUGUUAAGAUGAGUAGUUCAAGUCCUUAUAAAUUGGUCUAAAUCUUUAUCUUUAUUCGAUGUGAAAUUUAUCACUUAACAUGCCCCGUAAAAUAGUAUCUCGUUUUAGCAGACCAAUCUUGUAAUCUAUAUGUUCACUUUUUUGAAGUCUUAAUCUAAUCGAAUUGCUCAUUAGAGUCUAAUACAUUAUUAAAACUUAGGAUUCCAUUUUAAAAUUUCAAUAUUGUUAAAAGGAGUACCACAAUCCCUUAUAAGUUGACUACAUCUUCAUCUUUAUUUGACAUGAGGUUUAUUCCUUAACAUUAAUUUCUCCUCGACAGCCGUGUACUCAGCCAACGAGCCAAGCUUUUAGGUUGUUCGAGUGCUUUUCAUUUAUGUCGCGUUAUACUUCGUCACCUGCUUUAAGAAACUUUUACUUGACUGCCAAUUUUAAUUACCACACCAGCAACAUCAUAGCCUGCGACUACAGGAAAAAGAGAAAUUCAAAUAACAAAUAGCUGUUCUUAGUUGCUGUCCUGGUCACGGAUUGAUUGGAAAUAUUACCUUUCUCGUGGCUCAGUUUGUUACCAGAUAAGAGAAAGCUUCAUUAACCUUGUUGAAAGGGUAUGGCCUCUUUGGGUAGAGCAGCUGCUUCAACUACUUCCCAUUCUCUAGAAAUUGAAGGGUCUGUUCGAUAAUGAUAAUGAUAAUGAUUAUGAUAAUUGAUUUUUUGAUCGAAAAGUGGGUCCCAUCUGCGAGGGAAUAAAUCAAAAAUGACGACUGAAAUAAUGAAAUAAUUGUCAAAAAAUUAAUUUUUUGGGGGUGAAAAAUUGCUAUCAAACGGGGGCUUAGUUUCUUCAAUAUUUCUCCAUUUGAAGAACCAUUUGAAGAACGAAGACAAAAUGAGUUAAUAUGCAAGAUUUUUAGGAAAAUGGGCUUGUUUGGUUUGGAUUAAAAUUUGAUUUUAAUCUAAGUCAAAGUCAAACAAUCAAUAUUAAAAUCUUUCAUGAAUUCCACAACUAUUCAACCACACAUUUCAAAAACCUUUAUCACAAUAUACUAAAAAAUCUAAUUUUAAUCCACACCAAACACCUUCGUAAUAAGUUUCCAUAUCCAAAAUAUUACAUAAGGUAUAUAUGGUGUGAUUUGUUUAUUUCAACUAUGGAUAUCUUUGUGUAUGAGCUAUCUAUAAUUGUGCAUUUGUAAUUUUUUUCUAUUUUAUUCAGUAAAAGGUAUUUUUUUGUUACUUAUUAUAUAAAAUAUAGUACGUAAAAAGCAACUUUAUAAAAUGUAGGACUCGUCGCACUCGCACCAGGUAUUGAAACUAUCUGAACAAUUCUCAUAAAGUUAAUAAGUAAUUCUAAUAAAAUAAAUUUUCGCUUAUUCAAUGUGUGUAUGCAUAGUCAAUUCAAUCAUCAUCAACCUUUAGAUUUGUUAUUUCAAUUCUUAAUGGUUAAAUGUUUCCUUUUCCUUUUGUAGGAUGCCCCAAAACUUAUUAUUCAAUCUCACCCAAAGUGUUUAUUCUAAUGUUGAUUCCAUAGCACUUUUCUCCAUCAGUUUGAUACGGUUUAACCAUUGGAAGUAACCAUUUCAAUAUGUGAUGAUUCUCCCUAAAUUUGAGUAUUUCAACCUCAAAAAUUCACUAUAAAUCUAAUUCUCGAAUUAAGGGUUCAAGAUUUAGAGCCACACGAUCUCGACAUUGACUCUCAAGUAUUUUAUCCAAUAUAAUACUAAAUUAUCUAAUUUAGAAGUUUUUGUCCUUUAUCACCUUCGUCAUGCUUUUUUGAUAAUGUGGCAGGCAAAAUAUUCUAUAUUUGGAAUUUUUUCAUAUUGCACAUUCAUUGUAUCCAGACACUAAAAAAUACCCAUUUAAACUUUCUUUUUGUUUCCACAUUCAAUAUUGAGACGUACUUCUCACAAUUGUUGUGAUAAAACUAGAUAUAUACAAUUCAUACUUAUAUAGAAGAAGAAAGAUAAGAGAAAAAGCAAUUGUACAUAUCCUCCACCUCCUAUUUAUAGCUAUGCAUCUCCACUAGGUUACAAAAUUUGUUAGGUGUUCACGUGGAGAAAUAUUAUAUUAUUAUUGUCGAGCAAAUCGAGUUGUGAUUGUGUCAAGUCGAUCUUUUACAAGUAGAUUGAUUCAACAAACUCAAUCUUAACCAUCGAGUAGAUUGUGCUUUGAUACUAAUAAUCGAGAUCUUCGAUACAAACAUUUACUCAAGAAUUUUCUAUUCAGUCAAUGUUUUGCUCCUAAAAAAGGGGGAAAAUGGGAGAAGUAAUAAAAUUGCAGAAUGGCUCAUAUUCAUUAUUCUCUAUUUUACAUGUGCUAAUACAUAUGCCAGUCACAACAUACUUUAACAUUAACAACAAGAUUUUCCACUCAUUUUAUAUUUAUUCAGAAUAUUCACAACUACAUUUCUACUCUUAACACCAAACUAUCAUAUAUUUUUAGCCAGAACAGACAUAGUAUUCUUUGUUGCUGAUCAUGGAUUGAUAGGAAAUAUAGCCACUUUCCCGGUGGCUCGGUUUGUUUCCAGAUAAGCAAAAGCUUCAUUAACCUUGUUGAAAGGAUAUGGCCCCUUUGGGUCGAGCACCGGCUUUAUCUUCCCGCUCUCCAGAAAUGGAUUUAGUUUCUUCAGUAUUUCUCCAUCCGAAUGUAGCCUAAAGAAAAACCCAGGUGGCACUGCUUCACCAGUUAUAAAUACUACACUGCCACCUUCCUUCACUGCUUUCACUGCCCUGUCUCCUUGCCCUGUUUUUUCAAAGAAAAAUGAUGGCAGUGUUAAUUACAACCAUUGUGGGUAGUUCAAGUGAAGAAAUUAUGGAUUGAGGAAGAAUGUUUAAUUCGAGUCGACAACAGUAAUGUGAUUGAAGGGUAAGAAUUCCAGAAUAUUGCAACUGCCGUGAGCAAAUUCCUCAGUUAGCCAGAACAGACAUAGUAUUCUUUGUUGCUGAUCAUGGAUUGAUAGGAAAUAUAGCCACUUUCCCGAUGGCUCGGUUUGUUUCCAGAUAAGCAAAAGCUUCAUUAACCUUGUUGAAAGGAUAUGGCCCCUUUGGGUCGAGCACCGGCUUUAUCUUCCGGCUCUCCAGAAAUGGAUUUAGUUUUUUCAGUAUUUCUCCAUCCGAAUGUAGCCUAAAGAAAAACCCAGGUGGCACUGCUUCACCAGUUAUAAAUACUACACUGCCACCUUCCUUCACUGCUUUCACUGCCCUGUCUCCUUGCCCUGUUUUUUCAAAGAAAAAUGAUGGCAGUGUUAAUUACAACCAUUGUGGGUAGUUCAAGUGAAGAAAUUAUGGAUUGAGGAAGAAUGUUUAAUUCGAGUCGACAACAGUAAUGUGAUUGAAGGGUAAGAAUUCCAGAAUAUUGCAACUGCCGUGAGCAAAUUCCUCAGUAAAAGCAAAAAAUAAGUGGAAAAACUAAUGGAUGCAAUGUGAGCAAACAUAUAGGGACAGUACCUGCUUAUAAGUCAAUUUCAUAGACCCCUUUAUCCUUAUUUUUAAUGAUCAGAACUUAUUUGCACAUGCCCACUUGAUUCCCCACAUAAUAAAUUCUUAGAAUAAUGCCAAUUAUAAGGAAAAAAAGGGGUCUUUUCUAAUUCAUUUUCUACUUAAAAUAAGCCAAUAAUUAAUUAUUUUUUUGUUCUAUUUAUAAUUCUCUCCAUUUUGCACAUAUUGACAUAGACUUUACACUAGGUGGAGAAUAUUGUAGUUAUUGGACACAGCUGCUGUGGAGGGAUAAAAGGACUCAUGUCUAUCCCUGAUGAUGGUACCACUCAAAGGUUAGUCCUUUUGUGUAUUAUUAAUUUUAUGUGGUAUUCAACAUGAUUGUAUAGUACCAUAUGCCCCCGUUUGGUAUAAAUUAAUUUUAAUCUUUAAUUAAAAUCAACAAUUAAUUUUAACCACAUAUUUCAUGGGAUCUAGAACUUUUCAAUCACAAUUUCAUCAAACUUUUAUCAAAAUCUACUAAAAAUGUAAUUUUAACCAAAAAGGGGCUAAAUAGGAUCAUAACACAUUUUACUGAUCUCGAUUCGAAGUUAUGUGCGAAUUAGUGAAGAUAUUGCUCACGAGCAUAUUUUUGCUGGCUCGAGCGCUUGUAGCUUUUAUGGUUGCUCGCUUGAGAGAUUGUAGCUUUCUCGGCUUCAUCUGUAUUGUCUAGAACUAUGCAGUCCACGUAAUACAAAUAGUUUCCAUAUUUAUCGUCAUUUCAACUUGCAGUGAUUUUAUUGAAGAAUGGGUGAAUAUUUGCAAUACUGCUAAGGCAAAGGUGAAAGCAGAAUGUAACAAGUUGGAUUUCACAGAACAAUGCACACUGUUGGAAAAGGUAACUUUUUUCGGACCCUUUCGUAAAAAAGUUACUUCUUUUGAAAGUAAUAUAUCAUUACUGUCAAAAUAAGUAACUUUGUAAGCUUAGCUGAAUAUACUCUUGGUGCCGAUCGAUUAAUUGUUGUUGUGGAAUUGAGCAGGAGGCGGUAAAUGUAUCACUAGGGAACUUGUUAACCUAUCCAUUUGUGAGGGAGGCAGUGGGGAAGAAAACCCUUUCAUUAAAGGGUGGACACUAUGAUUUUCUGAAGGGCUCUUUUGAGCUUUGGAAUCUUGAUUUUAGCCUCUCACCUUCUCUAUCAGCAUAAGUAAUUAAUGCUGUUUCUACAUAUUGCUUCUUGCUUCCUUUCAGAUACUCUCUUAUUCGAAGGUGUAAAAUGUCGCAGCAAAUAACGUUGGGUCGAGAAAGUAGACACGAAAGUUAAGUUUUCUUGGUGUAUGUUGUCGAGUGCAAUAUUACAUAUGUUAGUAAUAUGUUGCUAAUCUUUCUUGGCAAUUUUUUUCGUCUCUUGAUCGCGAUUCUAUGCCAGCGACGUCAAUUUCACCAAUGGGCUUGAAUAAUUAGAUGCAGUUUUAUAAAAAAUAAUGUCAUCGUUGAUCAUCAAACAACCUACCACGAGCUGCCCCUCCACGAAUUUGGAAUUUUAAGGAGAAUGUUUGAAAACAUAUAUCUUAUGAUUCAGACAGAGAAUUUUAGUCCCAUAAUGUCAACAUUGGUUUCAAAUUUAGCAGCAAUUGUGAUAUUGUUCCUAC